CAGGGCACAAAGCUAAAGGAUGUAGCUGCCAUUAUGACAUCAAGGAUGACAUUAAUGCUCGGAGUUCCUCAUCAAAGUGCUCCGCAUCUGUGUGAAAGACAAUUGCAACAUCUUGGUGCAGGAGUUCAUGGACUUGACUGAGGCCACUGCACAGAUUGAGAAAACCA